rnacentral:rRNA from 1 species
CAAUAGCGUAUAUUAAAGUUGUUGCGGUAAAAAAGCUCGUAGUUGGAUUUCUGUUGAGGACGCUCGGUCCACUCUAUGAGUGUGCAUCUGGGUUUUGUCCUCGGCAUCCCGUGGGAGAACGUGUCUGCGCUUAACUGCGUGGUGCGGCCUCUUCCACGCUUUUACUUUGAGGAAAUUCGAGUGUUUACGGCAGGCAUUGUCCGCUGUGAAGAUGUUAGCAUGGAAUAAUAAUAUAGGACCUCGGUCCCAUUUUGUUGGUUUCUGGAGCUGAGGUAUGCACGGUUAAUAGGAACAUUUGGGGGCAUUUGUAUCGGCCGGUCAGAGGUGGAAUUCUUGGAUUCGGUCGCGACAAACUACUGCGAAAGCAUUUGUCAAGGAUGUUUUCAUUGAUCAAGAACGAAAGUUAGGGGAUCGAAGAUGAUUAGAUACCAU